rnacentral:rRNA from 1 species
AGAGUUUGAUCAUGGCUCAGAUUGAACGCUGGCGGCAUGCUUAAUACAUGCAAGUCGAACGGUAACAGAUUCUUCGGAAUGCUGACGAGUGGCGGACGGGUGAGUAAUACAUAGGAAUCUGCCCAUGUAGUGGGGGACAACUUGGGGAAACUCAAGCUAAUACCGCAUAAUUCCUACGGGAUAAAGAGGGCCACUGCUUGCAAGCUCUUGCUACUGGAUGAGCCUAUGUCGGAUUAGUUAGUUGGUAAGGUAAUGGCUUCCCAAGACAGCGAUCCGUAGCUGGUUUGAGAGGAUGAUCAGCCACACUGGGACUGAGACACGGCCCAGACUCCUACGGGAGGCAGCAGUAGGGAGUAUUGGACAAUGGGCGCAAGCCUGAUCCAGCAAUGCCGCGUGUGUGAAGAAGGCCUGCGGGUUGUAAAGCACUUUCAAUUGGGAAGAAAGAUUAUGAGUUAAUACCUUAUAAUAUUGACGUACCAAACAAGAGA